GUUCAUGUAGCCAAGUGGUUAAGGCGUUGCACUUAAGAUGCAACAUCGAGGGUUCGAUUUCCUCCAUGAAUA
rnacentral:tRNA from 1 species